rnacentral:rRNA from 1 species
AUUGAACGCUGGCGGCAGGCCUAACACAUGCAAGUCGAACGAGUGGCGGACGGGUGAGUAAUGUAUGGGAAACUGCUUGAUGGAAGGGUCUGAGUACUGGAAACGGUAGCUAAUACCGCAUACCAACGUUUGUGCCCAGGUUGGAUUAGCUAGUAGGGGGGGUAACGGCUCACCAAGGCGACGAUCCAUAGCUGGUCUGAGAGGCUGACCGGCCACACUGGAACUGAGACACGGUCCAGACGCCUACGGGAGGCAGCAGUGGGGAAUAUUGCACAAUGGGCGCAAGCCUGACGCAGCCAUGCCGCGUGUGUGAAGAAGGCCUUCGGGUUGUAAAGUACUUUCAUCGGGGAGGCGGUACUCGCAGAAAAAGCACCGGCUAACUCCGUGCCAGCAGCCGCGGUAAUAC